CCUACGGGCGGCAGCAGUGGGGAAUAUUGGACAAUGGGCGAAAGCCUGAUCCAGCCAUGCCGCGUGUGUGAAGAAGGCCUUCGGGUUGUAAAGCACUUUCAGUGGGGAAGAAAGCCUUGGGGCUAAUACCCUCGAGGAAGGACAUCACCCACAGAAGAAGCACCGGCUAACUCCGUGCCAGCAGCCGCGGUAAUACGGAGGGUGCGAGCGUUAAUCGGAAUUACUGGGCGUAAAGCGCGCGUAGGCGGUCUGAUAAGCCGGUUGUGAAAGCCCCGGGCUCAACCUGGGAACGGCAUCCGGAACUGUCAGGCUAGAGUGCAGGAGAGGAAGGUAGAAUUCCCGGUGUAGCGGUGAAAUGCGUAGAGAUCGGGAGGAAUACCAGUGGCGAAGGCGGCCUUCUGGACUGACACUGACGCUGAGUUGCGAAAGCGUGGGUAGCAAACAGGAUUAGAUACCCUUGUAGUC
rnacentral:rRNA from 1 species